GCUCCGCCUCCUCGCUUCCUUCACCCCCUGCCGCAACCCGCGCGCCUCCUCCUCCCCUUUUCAGCAGCCGCCGCCGCCGCCGGGGAUGGAGACCACCUACAAGUUCGGGCCCUACAAGAUCGAUGCCAGGGAGGUCUUCCACGCCACUCCCCUCUCCUACGCCAUGGUCAACCUCCGCCCCCUCCUCCCUGGUCAUAUCCUUUUAUUUCAGUAAAGCUGACAACUAAUUAAUGGAUUGCUGGUACUUCGGUAAGGUUCAUGAAGAGCACCCGAAAACAAAUAUGACUCUAGAAAAUAAACUGAGCAGUGGAAGUUUCCGCGAAACCUUUGCAUUGGUUCUCUUCUUUUUACACCUGUUUUUCAGCUGUUUUAGAGGUCACAUCACACACAAGUUUUAUUCGACUUGAAGUUUGAUGCAUCACAUAUUAAAGGGCAGACCCAGUGCCAGGCGGCUCCCACUUGAGUGGGGUUCAUAUUGAGAAAAAAAAAUUAUUCUAUAUGCAUCAUUUUUUCCCCUUGACAAUACAUACAUGUUCUUGUGUGCCCCAAGCGUGAAGUGAAAAGAUUUGCUGAUCUAAGUUCUGAUGAGACGUGUGACUUAUGGGUUACUGCAAAGGAAGUCGGUGUACGUCUUGAGCAGUAUCAUAAAGCAUCUUCACUUACCUUUGCUAUUCAGGAUGGUCCUCAAGCUGGCCAAACAGUUCCACAUGUCCACAUUCAUGUCAUCCCGAGGAAGAAAGGGGAUUUUGAGAAAAAUGAUGAAAUAUAUGAUGCGAUUGAUGUGAAAGAGAAAGAAUUGAAGGAGAAGCUUGACCUGGACAUUGAGAGAAAAGAUAGAAGCAUGGAAGAAAUGGCUCAUGAGGCCAAUGAGUACCGUGCUCUUUUCUCCUAGAAUUAACUCUUCUAUAGUAGUUAGUUUCUAGGUUGAUCUGACUGUUUUCAUAAAUAAGCCUUGCUGCUGCCUUUUCUCCAUUGUUGCAAUCCAGAUAUCAUUUAACUGAUAUGGUGUUGGACUAAUGUUCAGUGGUGUGAACUAGAAUGAUGCUAAUGUGCUAUGUUGUGUACUAUGGGGAAAUAGUCAUCUCUUGUAAGGAUUGCAUUCUUACGGGCAAACCUUCUAGAUUAGAAACUAGUUUUAAUGUACUACAGAGCAUCAGGUGUUUGCUGGAUGAAGUAUAUCCUUACUGCAAA